rnacentral:rRNA from 1 species
AGAGUUUGAUCAUGGCUCAGAUUGAACGCUGGCGGCAGGCCUAACACAUGCAAGUCGAGCGGUAGAGAGAAGCUUGCUUCUCUUGAGAGCGGCGGACGGGUGAGUAAUGCCUAGGAAUCUGCCUGGUAGUGGGGGAUAACGUUCGGAAACGGACGCUAAUACCGCAUACGUCCUACGGGAGAAAGCAGGGGACCUUCGGGCCUUGCGCUAUCAGAUGAGCCUAGGUCGGAUUAGCUAGUUGGUGAGGUAAUGGCUCACCAAGGCGACGAUCCGUAACUGGUCUGAGAGGAUGAUCAGUCACACUGGAACUGAGACACGGUCCAGACUCCUACGGGAGGCAGCAGUGGGGAAUAUUGGACAAUGGGCGAAAGCCUGAUCCAGCCAUGCCGCGUGUGUGAAGAAGGUCUUCGGAUUGUAAAGCACUUUAAGUUGGGAGGAAGGGUUGUAGAUUAAUACUCUGCAAUUUUGACGUUACCGACAGAAUAAGCACCGGCUAACUCUGUGCCAGCAGCCGCGGUAAUACAGAGGGUGCAAGCGUUAAUCGGAAUUACUGGGCGUAAAGCGCGCGUAGGUGGUUUGUUAAGUUGGAUGUGAAAUCCCCGGGCUCAACCUGGGAACUGCAUUCAAAACUGACUGACUAGAGUAUGGUAGAGGGUGGUGGAAUUUCCUGUGUAGCGGUGAAAUGCGUAGAUAUAGGAAGGAACACCAGUGGCGAAGGCGACCACCUGGACUAAUACUGACACUGAGGUGCGAAAGCGUGGGGAGCAAACAGGAUUAGAUACCCUGGUAGUCC